GGUGUGCUGGCGCAAUGGUAGCGCGUAAGCCUCCUAAGCUUAAGGUUCUGGGUUCGAGUCCCAGGUACAUCG